rnacentral:rRNA from 1 species
UACGUAGGGGGCAAGCGUUGUCCGGAAUCAUUGGGCGUAAAGAGCGUGUAGGCGGCCCGAUAAGUCCGCUGUGAAAGUCCAGGGCUCAACCCUGGAAUGCCGGUGGAUACUGUCGGGCUCGAAUCCGGAGGAGGUGAGUGGAAUUCCUGGUGUAGCGGUGAAAUGCGCAGAUAUCAGGAGGAACACCAAUGGCGAAGGCAGCUCGCUGGGACGUGACUGACGCUGAGACGCGAAAGCGUGGGGAGCAAACAGG